rnacentral:rRNA from 1 species
UGAACGCUGGCGGCGUGCCUAAUACAUGCAAGUCGAGCGAACAGACGAGGAGCUUGCUCCUCUGACGUUAGCGGCGGACGGGUGAGUAACACGUGGAUAACCUACCUAUAAGACUGGGAUAACUUCGGGAAACCGGAGCUAAUACCGGAUAAUAUAUUGAACCGCAUGGUUCAAUAGUGAAAGAUGGUUUUGCUGUCACUUAUAGAUGGAUCCGCGCCGCAUUAGCUAGUUGGUAAGGUAACGGCUUACCAAGGCAACGAUGCGUAGCCGACCUGAGAGGGUAAUCGGCCACACUGGAACUGAGACACGGUCCAGACUCCUACGGGAGGCAGCAGUAGGGAAUCUUCCGCAAUGGGCGAAAGCUUGACGGAGCAACGCCGCGUGAGUGAUGAAGGUCUUCGGAUCGUAAAACUCUGUUAUUAGGGAAGAACAAAUGUGUAAGUAACUAUGCACGUCUUGACGGUACCUAAUCAGAAAGCCACGGCUAACUACGUG